AGUGGCGGACGGGUGAGUAAUGCUUGGGAAUCUGGCCUAUGGAGGGGGAUAACAACGGGAAACUGUUGCUAAUACCGCGUAGUAUCGGGAGAUGAAAGGGGGCGCAAGCUCCUGCCAUGGGAUGAGCCCAAGUGGGAUUAGGUAGUUGGUGAGGUAAUGGCUCACCAAGCCUGCGAUCUCUAGCUGGUCUGAGAGGAUGGCCAGCCACACUGGAACUGAGACACGGUCCAGACUCCUACGGGAGGCAGCAGUGGGGAAUAUUGCGCAAUGGGGGGAACCCUGACGCAGCCAUGCCGCGUGAAUGAAGAAGGCCUUCGGGUUGUAAAGUUCUUUCGGUGAUGAGGAAGGGAUGU
rnacentral:rRNA from 1 species